GGAGAAAAAAUGUAAUUCAGACUUGAGAGUGUCUAACCAUUGUUUAUGGCUUUAGUUUGUUAGAUUGCAUUUUAAGCUUACCCAUUGCUAUAUAGAAUUUAAGAACUAACCUUAUGGUGGAUGUCUGGAUGAUUUUAGUAAAGUUCUAAUACCGUCCUGUUGUUAGAUUAGGAUCUCUCAUCUUCAGCUCCUGUACUUUUUCUUAGUUUUCUAUUGGAUUCUACCCCUUGUUGAUAUGAUAUGUUACAAUUUCUUCUUCAGCCUCUAUUUUUGUAGGACCCUACAUUGGUAUGUUGACAUCUUUAUAUGUUAUGAAAUUUCAAGGUUUGCUAUACUCUACAUCAACGACAGGUUGAUUCCCUGAGCUAUAUUAUGUACACUACUAGUCUUGUAUUGAUUUUUCUGCUCCUUUAAAUAAUUCAUCAGUCCUCUUGUCUUUCUGAGAUCCUUUUCUAUUUCCUUGGAGUAUUAUUGUUAUAUGAAGGGAUGGAUGAGUUGGUCAUUUGGAUGGCUUCUAUAUUUAUUAUUUGUGGUUAUGGUGGGAAAUGGCCCUCUUUGUGGAUAAGUGUGAUGUUCUUUUUUAUUUUAUUCAUCCACUGUAGUUCUAUAAAGACACCACAAUGUAGGGGUUCCACCUAGAAAACGUCAAUUGUUAAGUCUUACCUACAACAAAUACUUUGUAAUAUAAUUAGUCAAUCAAAGUGUGAUCAUACCUAGAUAGAUACCUAGAUAGAGGGGUGUGUUGAAAGUCCCACAUAACAGAUAGUCAUGAGAAAAAUGAGACAUAUUAAAGUCUCACAUCGAAUAAAGAUAGUGUCGAAAUAAAUUAUAUAGAUGAGGAGUAAUUCUCACCUUACAAGUUGAUUUUGUGAAAAUUGCAAGUGUGAGAUAUGUGUGAUAAUGUGACGUGAGAAGGUUAAUUGAAGAACAAAUUCAGUAGUUUGCUCUUGCUUCAUUUUCGAGUUAUACUGAACCAAUCUCAGACAAGCUCCUUCCAGAUUUGCUUCCUCAGGAGCAACAUGUUUCUACACUUGAUUUAGAUCUCAAUGAGAGAUUGAUUCACUAUAUCUGGACGCUUGUAAACCCCGUUUUAGAUAGGCUGGAUACCAAGCAUUGAAUAAGAUAUAGCAGGCUAUCAAGACCUGCUACCAAGUACCAGGAUGGGAAGCAUUUCAGAGACCUUCCAAAGCUAAAUAGAAAUCCAGGAAAAGUUCUUAAAGUGUCCGUGUUUUGGAAGGUUGCCUUCAACCAGAGAGUUGUGUCCCUAUCAAGCCAUGGCAUUAAUAUCUGUUCAACUAUGAAUUCAUGUUUGCCUUUAUUGCUGUGACAUUAAGUACUCGCAAAAAUUGCAUUGCCUCCUUCAUUUUCUAUCUAUGUGAAGUUGUUACCCGUAGUAGUACGUCCGGCAAAUAUAAGACCAGUGAUGUGAGAUUCCAGCUCAAUUCAUUACGUGUUCUAAGGAUAUGAGAGUUCCCCUCUUCUAGGAUGGUUCGACACUUGGAGGUAGAUAUAGUGUGAGGAUUGUUAGGAUUAAUGGAUGUGGGAAUUAUAUUUGUGGUUGCAUUUUUAUUUUUGUUCUUAUGAUAAAAGUAGUGUGAGACUGGUCUGAGUGGUUGAUAAAUGUUGUAACUUGUAAUGAUAAAUUUUUCCUUGAGUGUCACAUCUAUUUGAUGUGUUGAUUUGUGCAUGUAUAAUGAGUCUAUGCUAGAUGUUGCAAGCUUCAAAUGCUCCAUUAGACCUUGGAUGUGACAGAGAUUUUUGUUUGUUGAGGCAGUUUAUUUCUUCACUAAUAAUACCAUGAUGAAAUUCUGCCAAUAUAUAGCAUUCUGUAGAU